GGACUACUGGGGUAUCUAAUCCCGUUCGCUCCCCUGGCUUUCGCGCAUCAGCGUCAGUGUCGGCCCAGCAACCCGCCUUCGCCGCAGGUGUUCCUCUCGAUAUCUACGCAUUUCACCGCUACACCGAGAAUUCCAGUUGCCCCUUCCGCACUCUAGCCGCGCAGUAUCAGUUGACCUUUCCGAGUUAAGCCCGGAGAUUUCACAACUGACUUGCGCUGGCCGCCUACGCGCCCUUUACGCCCAGUAAAUCCGAACAACGCUUGCUCCCCCCGUAUUACCGCGGCUGCUGGCAC
rnacentral:rRNA from 1 species